UCUUGGCAAAAUAUACGAAAUCUCGACGGUUGAGUUGGUUAUACAUUCUUGCAGUAUUUAAGUAACAGCAAGAAUUUUAACCAACACAGACGUCGGUUUUUAACGUCAACUUAUUUUAUG
rnacentral:precursor_RNA from 10 species